rnacentral:tRNA from 1 species
AAGAUACUAGUAAAAUUAGAACAUUACACCGUUUUGUCAAGACGGUAUUACAGGUUAAAACCCUGUGUAUCUU